UAUAAGGUCCCAAGGGUCCGGCUGUUCGCCGGUUAAAAGGGUACGCGAGCUGGGUUCAGAACGUAGAUAACACUGCGUUUUUCCGUAGUAAUACGGAAAGAGAAUUGACUAAUAUCGGUGAAGCCCGACUGCAGGUCGAACGCUGCAGGGGUAAUACCGAGGGAAGGUUGUAGAUGGAAGAAUCAACGAAAGCAUAUAUCGCAGGUUUCUUGGCAAACGUAUUUGAUUCUUACGCAACCCUUAACUAUUCCAAGAAGAAAACUAAUAACGCAAAGAAAGUAGAAGGUUUCUUGAAUAGAAAGGAGCUACUAACCCCCGUAACGACUGAGAGCGAAAGCUCGAGAUAGCUGCUAAAUAAAGCAGUUAUAAUACGUCAACUCCUCGAAAGAGGAUGAAGAUAUAGUCUAUGCCACUGGUAACAGUGGGUAAUCAUGCGUGAGACAGUUCGGUCUCUAUCUGAUGUGGGCGUAAGGAUACUUGAAGGGGAGUUCUCUUCAGUACGAGAGGACCUAGAGAAACGAACCUCUGGUGUUCCGGUUGUCCUGCCAAGGGCAAAGGCCGGGUAGCUAUGUUCGGAAAGGAUAAGCGCUGAAAGCAUCUAAGUGCAAAGCCCCCCCCAAGAAUAGGUAUCCCUUCCUUGGCCGUAAGGCCGAGGAUGAAGGCUGGUCGUAGACUACGACCUUGAUAGGCGCAAAGUGUAAGAUCCGUAAGGAUUUCAGCUAAUGCGUACUAAUCGGCCAAUCGGCUUGGCCUA
rnacentral:rRNA from 1 species